rnacentral:snRNA from 1 species
CCACCGAGCGGCGGGUAGAA